rnacentral:rRNA from 1 species
AACGAACGCUGGCGGUAUGUUUGAUACAUGCAAGUCGAACGCGAGCAUUUAUGCUUGAGAGUGGCAAACGGGUGAGUAACACACGGGAAUCUGCCCAUCAGUAAGGAAUAACAGUUGGAAACAGCUGCUAAUGCCAUAUGUUUUCUAAGGAAAAAAGAUUUAUCGCUGAUGGAUGAGCCCUUGUAAAAUUAGAUAGUUGGUAAGGUAAAAGCUUACCAAGUCUGUGAUUUUUAGCUGGCUUGAGAGGGUGGCCAGCCACACUGGGACUGAGACACGGCCCAGACUCCUACGGGAGGCAGCAGUGCAGAAUAUUGGACAAAUGGGCGAAAGCCUGAUCCAGCAAUACCGCGUGGGUGAUGAAGGCCUUUUGGUUGUAAAGCCCUUUCGAAUAGGGAGUAAGAUAUGAAAGUACCUAUUUUAAGAAAGUCCCGGCUAACUUCGUGCCAGCCGCCGCCGUAAAAC